rnacentral:rRNA from 1 species
UACAGAGGUCUCAAGCGUUGUUCGGAUUCAUUGGGCGUAAAGGGUGCGUAGGCGGUCGCGCAAGUCGGAUGUGAAAUCUCAGGGCUCAACCCUGAAACUGCAUUCGAUACUGCGUGGCUCGAGUGCUGGAGAGGAGACUGGAAUUUACGGUGUAGCAGUGAAAUGCGUAGAUAUCGUAAGGAAGACCAGUGGCGAAGGCGAGUCUCUGGACAGCAACUGACGCUGAGGCACGAAGGCCAGGGGAGCAAACGGG